CCGGCGCACGGGUGAGUAACGCGUAUGUAAUCUACCUGUAACAGAGGGAUAACCCGGAGAAAUCCGGACUAAUACCUCAUAGCACAUAUUAUUCGCAUGAAUUUUAUGUUAAAGAGACUCGGUUACAGAUGAACAUGCGUUCCAUUAGCUAGUUGGCGGGGUUGCGGCCCACCAAGGCAACGAUGGAUAGGGGUUCUGAGAGGAAGGUCCCCCACACUGGUACUGAGACACGGACCAG
rnacentral:rRNA from 1 species